CAAUACUGCCGUGCUAAGGAGGAACGCCUAUGAACAUUCGACAGUUGCCAAAUUUCCUCCAAUAAAGUGUUUAUUUUUCAGGAAAGUUAUGAAUAUUUUCCCUUCACAUUUUUUGACACUUUACAUCAAAUUGCAAACAAAAUUAUGUAAGGAAUGGGAAGGAAAGUAUUAACAGAUUUUCCGGGGAAUUAGUGAUUUGUCUAACGAAAUUUGGCAACGCCUGAAGGCUCAUAAGGCGUUUUUCCUUAGCACGGCGGAAUAGGAUCCCUCCAUAUCCCUUUUGUCCUCUUGGUCUAUAACUUUGUCCAUAGUUUUGUCUGACAAUUUCAAAAUUCGUUCAGCUGGACCUCCUUCAAACAUCUUAAAGUCGACCAGUUCUGAGGAGCAGGCUCGGCCGAUUCAAAGGGCGUUUUCAGAAAUGUUUAAAACGGUUGCCAAGUUUUUACCCGUGUGAAAAAAUGUGACCUAAACUAACGUCUCCUGAUUGGUGUUUCCUUGGGGUAGUGGUGCGAGCGUGCCACGGUGGACGGCGGAGACAGAGACAGCACUGGCGGUGGGGGAGGAGGCGUGCAAGCAGUCGGCCGAGCUCCGACUCCUCCUCAACAACACCAUCCUCAUCGACUGCAUCAGGGAUCUGCGACUCCAGUGCGAUCGCGUCGACCUCGCUCUCUCCCAGAGGAUCCAGGAGACGGAGCAGAGUCGCCAAGUCCUCCAGGCUUGCCUCGAAAAGAUAUUGAACAGAAUGAGCACUACCGAAGGCACCAUCCGGAAGUUGAAAAAUAUGAUACGGAAUUUGGACCAAAUGACGAAAGUCGCUCAAUCGCGGCUAGAUAAUCGAAACCAGCGGCCGCCCGCAGAAAGUACGCGCGAUGAAGCUCAUGUGAGGUGAGUAAUCUGAGCUACUUCAGUCGGUGAAUUUUACGAAGAGACCAUUCACUCACUUGUAUUGCAAAUUUUAUAGCUAUUGAAAAUUCAAGCGAAAAGAUAAUCAGUUACUUCCUUUUCUUCAUGCUUGUGGCUCUUCUUGUUAUUUAGUUUUAGAUUACCUAAAUAUUUUUAUGUCAAAGGGCCAGUGGCGUGGCGUGCUUUGCGAUAUAUCGAACGAUCUGCCAUUUAAACCUACGGAAAAGGAUCGAUAAACAAGGUGUUCACAGUGAACACUUUAAUAAUCGAUUCUUUACCAUAGGUUAAAAAGGCAUUACAAUCGAUACAUCGCAAUUCACGCCACGCCAAUGCAAAGGGCACAAUUCUUCUAUUUUAGUCAAAUAGAGAUAUGUUGCAGGCCAAUAGUCAAAUCAGGCAUUUUGUAAAAUGUCUGGGUGAAUGGGCAAACAUUCUCUACUAGAUUCAAAA
rnacentral:lncRNA from 1 species